GACGAACGCUGGCGGCGUGCUUAACACAUGCAAGUCGAACGGUGAAGGGAUCAGCUUGCUGGUUCUGGAUGAGUGGCGAACGGGUGAGUAACACGUGAGUAACCUGCCCCCUUCUUCUGGAUAACCGCAUGAAAGUGUGGCUAAUACGGGAUAUUCUGCGCCUGCUGCAUGGUGGGUGUGGGAAAGAUAUUGUUUCGGUGGGGGAUGGGCUCGCGGCCUAUCAGCUUGUUGGUGGGGUGAUGGCCUACCAAGGCGGUGACGGGUAGCCGGCCUGAGGGGGGGGGCGUUCCCAGUGGGGCUGCGCCCCGGCCGCGUGCCGUGGGGGGGGCGGCGGGGGGGUUGAUUCAAAAGGGGGCCCCGGCCGGGUCCCGCCCCCCCGGGGGGGGGGGGGCUGCUUCCGGGUUGUGACCUUUUUGCGGAGGGGAAGCAGCCCUGUCCUUUGUGGGUGGGUUGACGGUAGCUUGAAAAGAAGCGCCGCCUACCUCCGUC
rnacentral:rRNA from 1 species